UACGUAGGGGGCAAGCGUUGUCCGGUUUUAUUGGGCGUAAAGAGCGUGUAGGCGGCCAUACAGGUCAGCUGUGAAAACUCGAGGCUCAACCUCGAGACGUCGGUUGAAACCGUAUGGCUAGAGUCCGGAAGAGGAGAGUGGAAUUCCCGGUGUAGCGGUGAAAUGCGCAGAUAUCGGGAAGAACACCCGUGGCGAAGGCGGCUCUCUGGGACGGUACUGGACGCUGAGACGCGAAAGCGUGGGGAGCGAACAGG
rnacentral:rRNA from 1 species